UUAGAAUGUCUAAAUGACCCUCAGAAUGUUUUUCACCAGAAAGGUUUUGUUGUUUUUUUCCCCACUGAUUCCAAAACAGUGAGUUGAUUCCUCUUCUUCCUGGAAGUCUUUCUAGGUCAUUACAAAUAGCAUUUUUCUUUAUAGUUCUCAAGUGACCUUCAGUGCAAACAUUUCUUUCUUCUUCCUGGGGUGGGUUCUGACAUCAUUCUCCAGGAACACAAAGGCCUCCACAAGGUUGAUUUAUCCUGCUGAGACUCUGGAAAGGGUCUCUUCUCCUCUGACCACAUCUUAAUUCACAAUUGAGGGAAAAAUAUUUAGCAAUGAGUCUCUUUCCCUAUUUUCUUUGAGCUUGGUUUUUAAAAGUCAGUUAUUCUAACAUCUGCUUGGAACAUUUUAUUGUCCCCAGUCAGAAGUAUGGUUUUGUAUUUUUUAGCCAAUUAUUUCUUAUCUUUGGUUACUUUUGCUCUUUUUUAAUUCAAAUCAGCCAGCAUCUGUUCCCAGGAUUCAGUGCCAAGGUGCCACCCAGUUUAGGAAAGCUAAUCUUUGAUCUUUUUCUUUUGCCUCUUCUGGGUACCACACACUAGUUUUCAUCCCCAAUUCCCCCACAUUCUCAUACCUCCCUUUGCAAAUUCACUUGAGCUUUUAAAAAGAAAAGAGAACUUUAAAAGGAGAGCUAAGAUGAUUGUUCAGAUAAAAUGCUGAAUCCAGACAGCCAGAAGCUGUGUGGUUUUCUCUGAGUUUGCUCUGUUCUGCCUGGAUGUUGUGUGGCUUAAUGGGGAGAGAAGCUGCCAGCUUGGAACAGAGCAGAAGGAUUUUCAGCAUCAGCUCCUCCCAUGUCGUGGGUCUCUGCAUCUUGCUUCAGGACACAUACGUUUUCUGCUCCUCCAACCAGUAAACUUUAUUCAGGCAGAUCCUACCUCUGUGCUGGAAGGCCUGCAGAUCUGAGAAGAACUGAGGUCUGGUUGGUAUGCAGGAAAAGAAGGCAUGUGAGCUAUGUUAUCUGCUUGUCAUCACAAGAGGAACAAAGUGGCAGGCCAUGGAUUGAAACACAUCCGGAGCAUUGGGGUGGGCCUUGGAAUUCCGCAGUGAAGACUCCUAGAUAAGGAAAUGCCAAGGGUGGGGGCUGCUGAAUAGCGUGGGCUUCCGCUGGCCAGCCACAAGGUUCUUUUGGGAAGGCAGAUGAGAAGGGAAUGUGGCUUCCAGAGCCACCAAAUAAGGAAGGACAUCAUCUUUCUCCACUUCAUCCAAGUGUGAAUGUCAGCAACCAGAGUCACUUACUCCAUGCCUUCUCACUACCCACUAAAUGUGAUAUUGGAAGGACCUAGGACAAGCGCUGAGCAAAGUGGCACAGUCAAGAAAUUCUUAUGGACAAAUCAAACAUUCCUUUAAGUUUUCAAUAUGAUUUCUAACCUCUAUUUUUUUUCCUUUUCCUUCUUUUACCAUACAGAAUUUAUCUGGAAAAGAGGACAGCUGUCUUUUAAAGGCAGGAGUUGCUCUAAACAUCCCCAAGUUCUCGUGAUCACAGCCCCGCCGCCCUUGCCCAGUGAGAUUUGUCCAGGGUGGUGGGUCUGAUCUGUAACUAACCCAAACUGACUCCCUGGGGAGCCAUUCAGUUGUGCCUCCAGAAGUCAUUUCCUUGCCAAACAUUCCUUUUCAGGGAGAGGACCUUUUCAUCCCCUGGUAAACAAUCCCCAGCCUGCACAGAGCAGAGAGGGGUGUCUGUCCCUCUCCUCGUUCUCCACUUAGUCGUGAGCUGAUUCCAACCCCAGAGGCGUCAGUCUGCUCUAUAAAUUCCUUUGUGAAACCUGAGAGCCUUGGCGCUGAAGGAGAGCAAAGAUCUUGGAGGGGUUACAGUUCCCCUCCUCCCUAAAAUAUCUGCUUGUGUUGGCAGCAAAAGAGUAUGUUUUUGCAAACAGGCUCUUCCCUUUCUUAUGAGAAUUCAGUUUAGAAGCACUGCCAGGCUCCUUCUCAGUGAGAGAAGUAAGAUCACCUCCCUUGCAGGUCUGCACAGGAAAGAGAUGACAUGCCUGGGGGGAUUCGUCUGGUUAAAAUAAUCUGAGCCUCUUUCUCAACCAGUCACUAUUAGAAGGGGCAUGGUUGCCAGGAGGCAAGGAGUGCUAACCAGCCCUCAGCCCUGAGGUGCGGAGGCCAGCUCUUUAGUUUCAGUCACUGUGGUUUUUAAAAUGGGAGAAUGGAAUGAAGGAAGGAGGGAAGGAAAGGAAGAGAGGAAGAGAAGAAAGAAGGGCGGGAGGAAGCAAAGAGGGAGGAAAGAAGAAAAGAGACCUUGAAAGAAAAUGAGACAAGAAAGAUAAAAAGAAAAAGAGGAGGAAAGAAGGAAACUUUCAGUUCAUCGACCUUCAGCUGGACCAUGACCUCGCACAGCCACCAUGGUACCCUCCUCCUCCUCCAUCAGCCUCCCAGAGCAUUUGUGCUUUAUUCAUAUUUUAGCCUUUUCUUAAUAUACAUGUUUCCUUAACCCUGGAAUUUGGAAAUGAGAUAAUAAAUCAUCAACUAGUAGAAUCUUAGAAAACUCAUCUUUUUAAAAACAGUAUAUUAUUAUGAUGCCAUUAAAGAAAAUCAAAUGAAGAAAGAAGCCAGUUCUUGCCUAAUUGUAA
rnacentral:lncRNA from 10 species